AUAUUUCCGGAGCGAGUUUCCGUUCGGUGACGGUACUUCGGCAGAUGGAGCUGCCGUAGCGAAAGGGUUAAACCUCUGGUCAUGCAAAGUUGUCUGCCCCUCGGUUGGUAACAAUUCAUUGAAGUAAAAUACCUUUCGAUGUUAACGCUUUUGUUGUUCAACGUUAAAUUGCUGAUGUCAAGGUCAUCUUAUAGGUCAUAGUAUAAUAGGUUGUUGAAUUCAUUUUUUCAUCAGCAAUAACCCAUUUAAAAGAGUCAAGGUGACCUUGACAUUUAAUUGAAAAACAAUAGUAUUUGAAAUUUGUUGUAUUUCAAUAUGUCGCCGACUAAGUACUGAUUAACUUUCAUUGGGUACAUUUUGGAUAUUCUUCCUACAUUUUUUUGUCAGACUGUCGAAAGUGCCUGAAAAAUCGUGGCGAUAGGUAUGUACACACCUGGUGUAACGAAACUUUAGAAAAUGCAUUUUGUAGAUCUCAUUUUGUAUAGCUCUUGACAUGAGCUAUAAACUAAAGAUCGUGGAAAUCGCAAUUUUUCACAAAUUUCAACCAAAAACAAAUAAUUUUUACAUCUCUUAGUGGCUGUAGCUCGACUAUGAGUCAGUUGAUUUCAAUGUAAGUUUCAGUUACCGUCAUUUACAAAAUGCGUUUUUUGAAUGUUCGUUACAGGCUCUGAUAAAAAAAGUUGAAAAAACAUUUUUUAAUUCUUUUAUUCUGCUAACCAAUUGCAAUUUUUUUAAAACAAUUUUUAGCCUUGGUCUAGUAAACAAAUGCCUCUAACGUCUCCAAAACAUUUAGAUCGCUUGAUUAAAAAAAUGUCGUUCCGUUUUAAAGAGUGUACGAAUACUUUGUACACCGAUUGUAGGUCUAUAUUGUAAUAAGCAUUUACUUGUUGAAUGCCGAGCUGCCUAAAAAAAUAUUUCUUUUCAGAUCGUAUAAUUCCAAAUAAACUUUGCUUUGCGCAAAUGUGCAACGGGCACGGCAGUCAACGUGUUAAAUCGAAAUUAUGCACAUUAAUUAGUUUAAAAAUCCGUUAAAUCAUCGGCAAUACGAUUAAAAUUAUUCGCACGCGGAGGAAAUACCGUGGGUAGUUGUUAGUUGCCUGAAAAUAGGAGGAAUCGGAUAUUAAGCCAAUUACGAUCUAUUUUGACCAUGGUUGGUUCACACACGUGCGUUGAACUGUGGAUCACGACAACGCCCAGUUCUUUUUACAAUGGAACCGAACCGCUCGAUCUGUCCCACAAUCCCCUCGGUUCUUCGAAAAGAGAGAGCCGAAUCACUUUCCAAAUAUGAUUCGAGAACCGGAUAAGAAGAGAUGGAACAUUAUUUACCAGUUGGAUAUGAUAUUACUCGAAUUGACGACCAGAUACCACUUUUCCACAGUCAUCGCGGUCACAUUCCCGAUGCUUGCGAAUCCCACGGUAGACAUAAAGAUGGCAUAACUGUGAAAACCAUAAAAUGAGGAAAUUAAUUAGAUUGCCGACUUCAGGUUUGCAGUUACGAAAGUUAUGAAUAUAAGAUUUGAUAUAUACAGUGGCAUUAUUCCCUGUAGUUUACAGAAGAUUAAUUGGCGUGAUACACUAGCGGAUGAACUGAACGGAAACUGAAGAUGCGUCAGGUACCACAACCACAUUUAUCCUGCACGAUAAUUACAUUGUCGCGGACAAUCGGCGUGUUUUCUCAAAUAAUUUCGAAUUGGCAAAAUUCGAAAUCCAUCGGAUGUGUAUUAAUCCCCUGAUCCAUCCAAUUCGCCAGACAAGAUAAUAUACCGAAACCAAAUGUAGCGGCUUUUAUGACAUUAUUGUGUCAGACUGGCUUUGAAAAAAUGUAUCAUAUAUUUUGUCGAUCAAAGUAGCCUUGAAAGGUGAAAAAUAUAAUGUUUUUAAUAUUCCGGAAACUUUAAAUUAAAUAUUUUUCAAAGGAAAAGAUUUUAGAACAAAGACUAAAAAGAGUAACUAAAAGAAUGAAGACAAAUAUACAACACAAAAUAUAAAUGACAGAAUACUUUUAAAAAUUAUAAUAAUAGAAGAAAUAAUGAAUACGCUGAUAAUGAAUAAAAAUUGAAUAUAUUAAAAAUGAGUCAACUAACGGUAUCUCUUAACGAGAUAAUAUUCAUAAAUGAAAUUGCCAAAGAUCUCGUUGUCGGUGUGAUGUUAUGGAGGGAAGACAACAGUGAUAAAUGAAUUAAGAAAUGUAAUAAAGUAAAGUUUGCAUCUAAAAGCCUUUAAUAAUGCCGCCUAUAACGAAUGUCCCGUAACAAAAUUUACUUUUUUUAGUUCUUUUGAUAACCCAUUGAUGGAAAACUCUCUCAGUCAAUUUUUAAGUCCUCUUCCCCACCACAAAGAUAGUGACGGGAUGAAAUCGGAUUAACAGAUGAUGCGCUAUUUCUUCUGUUCUACUCUUAACAGUUGCUCUAUAGUUUCGUAUAUGCAGUACCCACUAGGCCCUUUACUCCUGCCCACGUCUUGCCAAGCUGUGCUGUGGAGUCUCGUGUCUACAGUCGCACUAGGGCCACUGCCAGAUAGCUACUCUCAAGGUACUAAACCGAUACGUUUUAUGGGAGUAGUAAUCUGACAAUGGCCCGGAAGGAUGGUUAAAGAUGGUAUAUGUAAUAAAUAUUCGUAUCUUAGUAACUUAAAACAAUGUUUGCCCGAGCCGAAUCGUUUCGUUUACAUCUGUAUCGUAAACGGACAAUAUGUACAUGUAUAUGAAAUGAGCAACAUAAUGAUACAGAAAUAUAAAAUUAUAGUCAUUGCUCGGGUAUGACGCUAUAGUGAACCGGCUAAAUUAUUUUAUAUUUUGGAUACAUUUCCGCGGAGACGGCAUAAAUGUAGCAACUAGGUAAACAUCAACACAAGAGUUAAAGAUGAAGCGAAAGGGAAGGAAACUGAAAAUGACGAUAUUGGAAUGAACUGAAGUCGGCGGGAAACAGGCUCCAAUAUCUCCUCAGAGUGUAAUUUCAAUUAAUAAACAAUAAGUUAUACCAUUGGCACAUUCCGUAGCCCCAGUACCACCUUCCAGUGAUUAUGGAAACCAAAACCAUCGAAUUCCCGAAGACAACCACUAUGAAAUCGCAGACCUGCACAGAAUACGAAGAGAAAUUAUUUUCACCGAAUUUCAAUUAUUCACUAUUGAACUGCGAGUACACAGGCCAAGUAAAAUUUUCUUUGGCGGAAUUUACAAACGUCACGGGCAAACUAACGUUUAACUUUUUUUAAAUCGAUUGACGUUGUUAAGAGCUACGAACAAUUAAAGAUCGCGAAAAUUACACUUUUGUUCCGACAUUUUACGCUUUUAACCAAUACCUGUCAGAAAUAUGCAGUUUUUAAAAUCUUUCAACGCAGCUUACUCUGUGUUAACCGAUUUCGAUGAAACUUUCAGCAUGCAUAUAGAUUACCGAGAUCUACAAAACACAUUUUUUAAAUUUUCGUUUUAGGUUUAGAUGAAAAAGUUAUACGACGUGAGUUUUUUUGUUCUUUUUUGUCAUUCCAGGUAAUAGCAAAAUAAAAAUAAAGUAUUUUAGUCA